CCUACGGGAGGCAGCAGUGAGGAAUAUUGGUCAAUGGGCUUACGCCUGAACCAGCCAAGUCGCGUGAGGGAAGACUGCCCUAUGGGUUGUAAACCUCUUUUGUCAGGGAGCAAUUGGCGCUACGUGUAGCGUUAUCGAGAGUACCUGAAGAAAAAGCAUCGGCUAACUCCGUGCCAGCAGCCGCGGUAAUACGGAGGAUGCGAGCGUUAUCCGGAUUUAUUGGGUUUAAAGGGUGCGUAGGCGGAAUGCCAAGUCAGCGGUAAAAUCGCGGGGCCCAACCUCGCUCCGCCGUUGAAACUGGCGGUCUUGAGUGGGGGAGAAGUAUGCGGAAUGCGUGGUGUAGCGGUGAAAUGCAUAGAUAUCACGCAGAACUCCGAUUGCGAAGGCAGCAUACCGGCGCCCAACUGACGCUGAAGCACGAAAGCGUGGGUAUCGAACAGGAUUAGAUACCCGAGUAGUC
rnacentral:rRNA from 1 species